AAAAAUAUGGGAUAAGACGUGUUUUGGGUAAUGAAUAUUUCAUAUUCGUUACUAACCACACACCCAUUGAGAAUAGGGAUUUAACUAUUCAUCUUUUGAGUAUGGGGUGAUGGUCUUUCCCAAGAAAACCUUAGGUAUCUGGAACCCUAAAAAUAUAUUAUCCUUAAAGGGAAUAUGAUAUUCUCAAGUCAUACACAUCUACUACUACUCAAACAGAACUACACUUCUAGUAGCCAUAACAUUAUCAAUCUAACCGCCCGCUUGCAACUCAACAUUGUCGAUUACCAAUAGGGUCUCUCACCUCACGUUAGUUGGUCCCUCACACAAUCUCAAAAACACUGUACAAGGCUACUCACCGCUAUGAGCUAACCAUCACCCCCUAAAACUGUAAUAUACCUAAUGUGGCCUCUGAGUCUCCCUAUCCUUGUAUAGGGAACACACACACCUUGUACUUUUUGGACAAUACAAUAACCAAAACGGAAUCUGAUGAACAAAAGUAAUAUAGAGAUUUUAUCAAGUAAUAGAUCAAGACAAUAUUUGUCAUUGUUGAUUUUAGAAAAGCUUUUAAAGUUAAACUUAUAAAGAGGGAUAUUGGGAAAUUCAUUGGGAGUGACUUCGGAACCUCAUCACCUCCUAUGAAUAGUAGUUUAAAACGAUGAUCACAUGACUUUAGUGUAAAAUUAUUGUCUUGAACCUAGAAAUUUCUACAUAAAAUAGGAAGAUCCUUCUACCAAAAUAGAUUUUCAAA
rnacentral:lncRNA from 1 species